GACGAACGCUGGCGGCGUGCCUAAUACAUGCAAGUUGAGCGCUGAAGGUUGGUACUUGUACCGACUGGAUGAGCAGCGAACGGGUGAGUAACGCGUGGGGAAUCUGCCUUUGAGCGGGGGACAACAUUUGGAAACGAAUGCUAAUACCGCAUAAAAACUUUAAACACAAGUUUUAAGUUUGAAAGAUGCAAUUGCAUCACUCAAAGAUGAUCCCGCGUUGUAUUAGCUAGUUGGUGAGGUAAAGGCUCACCAAGGCGAUGAUACAUAGCCGACCUGAGAGGGUGAUCGGCCACAUUGGGACUGAGACACGGCCCAAACUCCUACGGGAGGCAGCAGUAGGGAAUCUUCGGCAAUGGACGAAAGUCUGACCGAGCAACGCCGCGUGAGUGAAGAAGGUUUUCGGAUCGUAAAACUCUGUUGGUAGAGAAGAACGUUGGUGAGAGUGGAAAGCUCAUCAAGUGGCGGUAACUACCCAGAAAGGGACGGCUAACUACGUG
rnacentral:rRNA from 1 species